GCGUGCUUAACACAUGCAAGUCGAACGGUGAACACGGAGCUUGCUCUGUGGGAUCAGUGGCGAACGGGUGAGUAACACGUGAGCAACCUGCCCCUGACUCUGGGAUAAGCGCUGGAAACGGCGUCUAAUACUGGAUAUGUGACGUGACCGCAUGGUCUGCGUCUGGAAAGAAUUUCGGUUGGGGAUGGGCUCGCGGCCUAUCAGCUUGUUGGUGAGGUAAUGGCUCACCAAGGCGUCGACGGGUAGCCGGCCUGAGAGGGUGACCGGCCACACUGGGACUGAGACACGGCCCAGACUCCUACGGGAGGCAGCAGUGGGGAAUAUUGCACAAUGGGCGCAAGCCUGAUGCAGCAACGCCGCGUGAGGGACGACGGCCUUCGGGUUGUAAACCUCUUUUAGCAGGGAAGAAGCGAAAGUGACGGUACCUGCAGAAAAAGCGCCGGCUAACUACGUGCCAGCAGCCGCGGUAAUACGUAGGGCGCAAGCGUUAUCCGGAAUUAUUGGGCGUAAAGAGCUCGUAGGCGGUUUGUCGCGUCUGCUGUGAAAUCCGGAGGCUCAACCUCCGGCCUGCAGUGGGUACGGGCAGACUAGAGUGCGGUAGGGGAGAUUGGAAUUCCUGGUGUAGCGGUGGAAUGCGCAGAUAUCAGGAGGAACACCGAUGGCGAAGGCAGAUCUCUGGGCCGUAACUGACGCUGAGGAGCGAAAGGGUGGGGAGCAAACAGGCUUAGAUACCCUGGUAGUCCACCCCGUAAACGUUGGGAACUAGUUGUGGGGUCCAUUCCACGGAUUCCGUGACGCAGCUAACGCAUUAAGUUCCCCGCCUGGGGAGUACGGCCGCAAGGCUAAAACUCAAAGGAAUUGACGGGGACCCGCACAAGCGGCGGAGCAUGCGGAUUAAUUCGAUGCAACGC
rnacentral:rRNA from 1 species